rnacentral:rRNA from 1 species
UGGGGAAUAUUGGACAAUGGGCGAAAGCCUGAUCCAGCCAUGCCGCGUGUGUGAAGAAGGUCUUCGGAUUGUAAAGCACUUUAAGUUGGUAGGAAGGGCAGUAAGCGACUACCUUGCUGUUUGACGUUACCGACAGAAUAAGCACCGGCUAACUCUGUGCCAGCAGCCGCGGUAAUACAGAGGGUGCAAGCGUUAAUCGGAAUUACUGGGCGUAAAGCGCGCGUAGGUGGUUCGUUAAGUUGAAUGUGAAAGCCCCGGGCUCAACCUGGGAACUGCAUCCAAAACUGGCGAGCUAGAGUAGGGCAGAGGGUGGUGGAAGUUCCUGUGUAGCGGUGAAAUGCGUAGAUAUAAGAAGGAACACCAGUGGCGAAGGCGACCACCUGGGCUCAUACUGACACUGAGGUGCGAAAGCGUGGGGAGCAAACAGG